UCCCUGAUAGCUCAGUUGGUAAAGAAUCUGCCUGCAAUGCAGGAGACCCCGGUUCGAUUCCUGGGUCGGGAAG
rnacentral:tRNA from 1 species